rnacentral:rRNA from 1 species
AACAUCUUUUCUUGUUAGUUUCUGAAGUAUGGCCUGCCCACUGACGUAUAUUUAGUUGAAGGGCCGCGGUAUUUUGACCGUGCAAAGGUAGCAUAGUCAUUAGUUCUUUAAUUGUGAUCUGGUAUGAAUGGCUUGACGAGACAUAGGCUGUCUUGGAGUAUGAAUUUAUUGUUGAAUUUGGAUUUUAGGUUAAAAUUCUUAGAUGUUUUUAUGGGACGAGAAGACCCUAUAGAGUUUAACAUUUGAUUAUGUAUUUUUUAUUGUUUGUUUUGAACUUUUGUGUAUCUUUUGUUUUGUUGGGGUGAUGGGAGGAAUUUACUUAACUCCUCUUUUAUGUGGUAUAUUGAUUUGUAUUUGUUUUGAUCCAUUUAUUUUGAUUGUAAGAUUAAAUUACCUUAGGGAUAACAGCGUUAUCUUCCCUGAGAGUUCUUAUUGGCGGGGGGGUUUGCGACCUCGAUGUUGGAUUAAGGUUAAUUUUUGGUGUAGGAGC